GACGAACGCUGGCGGCGUGCCUAAUACAUGCAAGUCGAACGCUUCUUUCCUCCCGAGUGCUUGCACUCGAUUGGAAAGAGGAGUGGCGGACGGGUGAGUAACACGUGGGUAACCUACCCAUCAGAGGGGGAUAACACUUGGAAACAGGUGCUAAUACCGCAUAACGUCGCAAGACCAAAGAGGGGGACCUUCGGGCCUCUUGCCAUCGGAUGUGCCCAGAUGGGAUUAGCUAGUAGGUGGGGUAAAGGCUCACCUAGGCGACGAUCCCUAGCUGGUCUGAGAGGAUGACAGCCACACUGGAACUGAGACACGGUCCAG
rnacentral:rRNA from 1 species